rnacentral:rRNA from 1 species
GCUUGUCUCAAAGAUUAAGCCAUGCACGUGUAAGUAUAAAAUAACCUAUACUAUUGAAACUGCGAAUGGCUCAUUAUAUCAGUUAUAGUUUACAUGAUAAUAAUUUUCUACUUGGAUACCCGUAGUAAUUCUAGAGCUAAUACAUGCAUGAACCCCCGACUUUUGAAGGGGUGUAUUUAUUAGAUUGAAACCAAUGCGGGUUCCCCGGUAUUUGGUGAUUCAUAAUAACUUUCGGAUCGACUUCGGUCGAUGCAUCAUUCAAGUUUCUGCCCUAUCAGCUUUGGAUGGUAGGGUAUUGGCCUACCAUGGCUUUAACGGGUAACGGAGAAUUAGGGUUCGAUUCCGGAGAGGGAGCCUGAGAAAUGGCUACCACAUCCAAGGAAGGCAGCAGG